ensembl:snRNA U4 U4 spliceosomal RNA
AGCUUUGUGCAGUGGCAGUAUCAUAGCCAAUGAGGUUUAUCCGAGGCGCGAUUAUUGCUAAUUGAAAUUAUACCAUGUGUCUUGUGUCUUUGACUCAUCAUUUUGUCUGAGGAAUUUAGCCAUAUUUUUGAGUGAAGCAAUGGUUU